GAAUUGUUGGGGCUGGAAAUUAUUAGCAUGUGGACUCAACCUUCCUGGCCUUGCUGGAAAUCCUGGGCUUAUAUUGUUAUUGGCAUUGGGGGGGAGCUGCUAUCUUCAUGCCGCACCACUGGCAUUUGCAUCUCCUGCUGUCCAUUGUGUGAAGGCUAAAAGAGCAGAGUGAUCAAAGUGAAGUUCCUCUUGUUUUGACUACUUCAGAGUUGAGAUGAUCAAUCCAGAUACAUAUGGGAGGGAUAUAUAUAUAUAUAUGGAACAAGUGGAUGUAUGAUUUAAAUUUUAUGGGUGCGAAUUUGUAAGUCUAUGCCACAACCCUUUUGAUUUGUAAUAACUUGUACUUGUUUAGUGAAUCUUUUAACACAUAUACAA